UCUGACACUCACUGCUAACCAGGGGGGAGUGUGGCUGAGGUCGUCGGCACAUGGUGCUGCUGCUAGCUGCCUCCCACACAGGCCCUGCUAGCCUGCCUUGCUAAUCUGCCAAGUGACUGGGGCAGGUGCAGACAUGACCUGCCUCGACACACGUGCAGCAGCUCCUUCGCCACCCAAGGCCAUGUGCUUCACCUGUUUGCUUGUGCCACGUGUAGCUUCCAGCUCUGAGUCCAGAUCUUUUCUAAGUCAUAAUGUCCCAAACUACAAGGACCCCAGAGGAGCCUGUCUCAGGUGUCCCCCAUAAAGCCUCGAUUCCCUUGUAAGAUAACAGCAGACACACAUCGGUCAUGUCAAGGGUCCAGUCAAGCAGCCUUCCCUCUCCUUCCCUCAAACCUGCCUGGAACAAGGGCUAAGGAGAAGACUACCUUUCCUCAGCCCUGGCUGCCUGGAACUCACAGAGAUCUACCUGUCUCCGCCUCCUGAGUGCUGGGAUUAAAGGU